UAUAAGGUGGACGAUAAAUAAGUCGGUAGAUUGUAAAUCUAUGUAUAAGUAAACACUUUCUUGUAA
rnacentral:tRNA from 1 species